CAUGUGCCAUUGCUGCAGGAUAAAACAAUAACCAAAUGCUAAAGAAGAAAUAACGAUUGAGAGAAAUGCAGAGAGUAUGAUUAUAAAUAUGAG